rnacentral:rRNA from 1 species
AUUGAACGCUGGCGGCAUGCCUUACACAUGCAAGUCGAACGGUAGAGAGGUGCUUGCAUCUCUUGAGAGCGGCGGACGGGUGAGUAAUGCCUAGGAAUCUGCCUAGUGGUGGGGGAUAACGUUCGGAAACGGACGCUAAUACCGCAUACGUCCUACGGGAGAAAGCGGGGGAUCUUCGGACCUCGCGCCAUUAGAUGAGCCUAGGUCGGAUUAGCUAGUUGGUGAGGUAAUGGCUCACCAAGGCGACGAUCCGUAACUGGUCUGAGAGGACGACCAGCCACACUGGGACUGAGACACGGCCCAGACUCCUACGGGAGGCAGCAGUGGGGGAAUAUUGGACAAUGGGCGAAAGCCUGAUCCAGCCAUGCCGCGUGUGUGAAGAAGGUCUUCGGAUUGUAAAGCACUUAAGUUGGGAGGAAGGGUAGUAACCUAAUACGUUGCUACUUUGACGUUACCGACAGAAUAAGCACCGGCUAACUUCGUGCCAGCAGCCGACGG